CGUUUGAGCAAUGGGGGGACGCAGAAGGAUAGGGUGAGCGUGCCGUUGGUUGUGCACGUCCAAGUUGUGAGAUGAGAAACGAGGCAAAUCCCGUUUCUAGAUACAUCAAGCAGUGAUGGCAAGAGGUUUACCUCAGAGUCCCUGAUUUCACACUGCCAAGAAAAGCCUCUAGCGAGGCGGGAGGUGCCCGUACCGCAAACCGACACAGGUAGGCGAGAAGAGAAUUCUAAG
rnacentral:rRNA from 1 species